ACCUGGAUAGCUCAGUUGGUUAGAGCGUGGUGCUGAUAAUGCCAAGGUUGCAGGUUCAGUCCCUGUUUGGGACA